CUAAGAAUAUUCCGCAAUGGACGAAAGUCUGACGGAGCGACGCCGCGUGGAUGAAGAAGGCCGAAAGGUUGUAAAGUUCUUUUGCUAGGGGAGAAUAAGUGAGGGAGGGAAUGCCCUCAUGAUGACAAGGACUAGCGAAUAAGCCCCGGCCAACUACGUGCCAGCAGCCGCGGUAACACGUAGGGGCGAGCGUUGUUCGGAAUUACUGGGCGUAAAGGGCAUGUAGGCGGCUUGGUAAGCCUGGCGUGAAAGACUGCAGCUUAACUGUAGGGAUGCGUUGGGAACUGCUUAGCUUGAGUUACGGAGAGGGAGCUGGAAUUCCUGGUGUAGGGGUGAAAUCUGUAGAUAUCAGGAAGAACACCGAUGGCGAAGGCAAGCUUCUGGUCGAUAACUGACGCUG
rnacentral:rRNA from 1 species